UACGAAGGGGGCUAGCGUUGCUCGGAAUCACUGGGCGUAAAGGGAACGUAGGCGGCUUUCUAAGUCAGGGGGGAAAUCCUGGAGCUCAACUCCAGAACUGCCUUUGAUACUGGAGAGCUUGAGUCCGGGAGAGGUGAGUGGAACUCCGAGUGUAGAGGUGAAAUUCGUAGAUAUUCGGAAGAACACCAGUGGCGAAGGCGGCUCACUGGCCCGGUACUGACGCUGAGGUGCGAAAGCGUGGGGAGCAAACAGG
rnacentral:rRNA from 1 species